GGCACGCUUUCUGCUCAACGGUCUGCAACGGUAACCAACGGCGGCUACCGAUCCCCGACAAAGGCGUCGC
rfam:Pseudomonas sp. Chol1 Contig104, whole genome shotgun sequence.